rnacentral:lncRNA from 1 species
UAGAUCAUGAGGUCAGGAGUUCAAGACCAGCCUGACCAAGAUGGUGAAACCCCGUCUCUACUAAAAAAAAUACAAAAAAGAAAAAAAAAAAUUAGCCGGGCAUGGUGGCACGCGCCUGUAAUCCCAGCUACUCUGGAGGCUGAGGCAGAGAAUUGCUUAAAUCUGGAGGGGCGGAGGUUGCAGUGAGCCAAGAUGGCGCCACUGCACUCCAGCCUGGGCGACAGAGCGAGACUCUGUCUCAAAAUAUAUAUAUACUUUAUUUCUCAACAUAAGCUUCCUAAAGUGUAAGACGCUUUUGUAAGUGAUGAUACCAGUCCAUUCCUACAGAACUGAGUGUUCUCGGGACUUAACCAUGUCAAUAUAAUCUUUUUACAUUACUAACUGAAGAAAAUAUGUGUCCUUUAAAGGCUUUCUUAAGAUUAGGAAGCAAAAAGAAGUCAGAAGGAGCCAAAGAAGGAUUGUAAGGUGGACACCUGAAGAUUUCCCAUCAAACUCUUGCAAAAUUGCCCUUAUUUGAUGACAGUAAUGAGCAGAAGCAUUGUUGUGUGGAGAAGGAGUCUCUGGUGAAGCUUUCCUGGAUAUUUUUUCUGCUAAACCUUUGGCUAAGUUUCUCAAAACACUUUCAAAAUAAGCAGAUACGAUUUUUCUUUGGCCCUCUAAAAAGUCAAUGACAAAAUGCCUUGACCAUCCUUAAAAACUGUUGCCAUGACCUUUGCUCUUGACUGAUCCAUUUUUGCUUUGACUGGAUCACUUCUACCUCUUGGUGGCCAUUGCUUUGAUUGUGCUUUGUUUUCAGGGUCAUACUGGUAAAGCCAUGAUUAUCUCCUGUUACAAUUUUUUUUGCAGAGAAGCUUCAGGAUCCUGAUCCUACUUGUUUAAAAUUUCCAUUUAAAGCUCUGCUCUUUUCCAUAGCUGAUCUGGCCACAGUGGUUUUAGCACACAUCAGUGGAGUUUGCUCAACUUUACUUUCUCAGUCAAAAUCGGGUAAGCUGAACCAACUGAGAUAUCUAAGAUACUGGCUGUUGUUGGUGCUGUCAAUUGUCAGUCUUUCUCAUUUAGGGCACGAACAAGAUUAAUUUUUCCUCACAAAUCAAUGUGGUUGGUUUCAUUUUGAACAUCACAUCAUCUUCUCCUUUCUUAAAAUAAGUCAUUUGUUUGUAAGCUGCUAAUUUCUUUGGGGCAUUGUCAACAUUAACUUUUCAUAAGGCAUCAGUGAUUUCAGAUAAUAUAUUGUCUCAUUAAAAAGAUUCUAGUUCUCAAGAAGGUAUAACCUGACAAUCUAAAAAGCUAUUAUAUGAAUUUUAAAGUGAUUUUUAAAAAUAUGCUUUUUGAAAAACGUGCAUUCAGUGACUUUAAGUAGUUUUGGGAUAUAUAUUUUUAUUUACACACACAUUUUGCCAUAUGUAUAUGGAUCUUCUAUGUAUCAUAUAUGGAUAUAUACAUUUAUGAUAUAUAUCAUAUUUUUUCUCAUAUAUAGAGAAAAUAUCUAUAUACAUGUGGUAGAAUUUCUAACAAAGCCUAAAUAUAUUUUUAAAGUUCCUAAAUAUCAGGUUUGAUUCAGAGAAAAAGAUUCCAUUAUUAGUGUUAUGAAGAAAGACAUUUAAAUUUCAUAUCACGUAUUUUUCUUUUGAAAGUUUUAUAUAUAUAAAUGUACACACAUGCUCAUAUUUUAUAUACAUGAUCUUCAAAAAGUUCAUAGAAAAUAUAUGUUAUGAAAAAACUAUGCAUGGAUUUGCAAUGUUUUUGCACCAAAAUAAGCUUAUAAUAAUUUAUUAUAACAUGUCUGAACAGGAUCUGGUUUGAGGCACCAAGAAGGCUAAGGUAUCAGUUUUCAGGUAUAUGCGAUGCAUAUUUUGCCAUGUAUGUUUGUGUCUAAAUUUUGGAAAUGAGCUAGGUAUCUUCUUUUCAAAUAAAAAAAAUUGUGGCCAUACUUGUUUCUAUUGCCUUACAUGAAUUAAGCACAUAAUUAGCCAGCAUUCAUUCAUUCACUCAUUCAUUCAUGAAUAAUCAACAAACACUUACUGUGUAUUUAUUAUGUACCAUUCACUAGGAGCGUCACCUUUCAGAGGAAAAAAACAGAAAUGUAACUCACACAGAUAAAUGUACAACUAACAAUUCUGAUAAGAUCUGUGAGGGAAAAAAAGAAAGUGCUAUGAGAAUGAAAAUGUACUUUAAUAUACUUUGUUUUCAUGUGAAAAAUACCUGCAAGUUCCCAAGAUUAUUUUUCUCCAGUGUUAGUAUGCAUAAAAUGAGUUUUCUGUGGUACAUUAGUCACUAAGGUACACUAGGUUUUAGUAGAAGAACAAUAUAAUUUUUCACCAUUCCUGCCAAACACAUUCAGAAAGAGAGAAAUAUAAUGUUAUCUCUAUGUGGCCCUUGAGGAAAUUGAGUCAAAAGGAGAUUGAGUAACCUGUCCAAAAAAAUUAAGUCAUGGAAGCUGGAGCUCUUUACAUCCAGGCACUGUUUAUAAGAUCAAGUUGUCAUGGUUGGCUUAAGAUGGAGAAAGAACCUAAGAAACACAAUGCCAACCCCAUCAUUCUGCAGAUAAUAAAAUUGAGGUCAAGUGUCUUGCCCACUGCCACAAAAGUGCUGAAGCUUAAUUAGCAUGCAGGUGACUUGGUUCUGAGUCCCCUGUUCUUUUCACUCUGACAUAUGCCAUGAUCGAUAAAUUUAACAUUAGUUUCAGCCUAAUGUUUAAAGAUUUUAUUUUCUCUUUUAACUUAAAUAUUCUAUAUUCUAAGAUAUUAUAAUUUCCCCUCCACCAACCUAAACUUAGUUGAGUUGAAUACUUGAUAUUUGCCCAAACAUCAAGCAUCUAGAGAAGAUUCUACAAAACCCAAAUAUAAAGAAUCCAAAACUCACCUUCACCACAACUGGAUCUCAAAUUACCCACGGCCAUUGUUUAGCCACUCAGUAGGAGGGGAGAAUGUAACAGGGAUAACGUUUUCUUGGAAAGAGACAAUGGUCUUUAUUAAUUAUAACUGAAAUAUCUCAUUUGUGUAAAUUUUACAAAAAUGAAUUAUCAUGUAAACAUAUUUAUUAGGUCCCCUCCCAGGGCCUUGGGAGUCCUCUGCAAGGGAAAGGUCCUGAAGCUUAAGCUUUGUUGACUUCACAGGAAAUGAACCUCUUGUUUCUGAAAGCUUAGAAUCAAAUUUAGAACGCACCUUUAACAACAGACCACAGGACUUGAUUGGAAUGGAUUUCUGAAGUCUAACAUUUUCUCUGGCAUUAUUUAAUCCUUGCAUUAAUGAUUCCCCAUUGUCCUAAUCAUUUCUUAUUUUACUCUGUCAGAGUUAAGGGUGAAGUGCCCAAGGAAAAGCAACAGUGGGAAGUUGUCAGCUACCCAAUGCCUGAAGAAGCAAGUGGAGAAAACUAUGGUAUCUGAGCUUGAAGAGAGCUCAGGGUCCUAAAGGGCAGGGUUGGGGGAGGGUAGGUGUCAUUAGAGUCAAGGCACUGAGGCAGGCAGGCAGAGGACUAAGAACUCCCUCAGACCCCACCACUUCAAACUCCUGUUGGAGCCUCCUGACUCUGGUUGCUGCUAAUAUGAGCUAGGGGCCAAGGAACUUUAGAUGGUGCAGUUCAUAGGGUACAAAGCAGAGCAGAGAAUGGCAGACCGCAAAUCUAAUGAGGGGAACAAACCAAGAUUAACCGGCUCAGGCCUGAAUACCCUUAAAAUAAGGUCUAGAAUAAUGUAGAUUACUAUUUAAAUACCUGGGUACAGGUUUAUAUUAAUAUUUAAAAUUAUGAGAAUCUCUUUAUCAGUAAUUCAAACUCCAUGAAAAAGAGAGCAAAAUUGACAUAGAUUUUUGGUUGGUUGGUUGAUUUUAUUGUUUCUUCUGUUUUGUUUGUUUGUUUGUUUUUGUUUUUUUUAUGAUGAACCAAAAGAAAAAAAAACAACUUUUAAAAGCCGAUAAGGAGCUGUUAAUUUAUGUAGUCAUGUAAUACUUACGAAUUUAUUACUAAAUAUAUUUGUGAAGGGGACACAUUAUCAAAGGUGGAUGAAUUGUAAUUUAAGUACCAAAUACCUUAUUCUGAAACAAAAGUUCAGAACAGUUUUCUUGACCCCAACAUUUUCAAGCCUGCUGAGAUUGUUUUGCCUGUCUCUUCACAUAUUUUGUCAUUCUGGUCAUUAUACUCACAACUCCUGCAUCAAUAACUUCCUGGAAACCACUUUCUCUUUAGCCUUCUUAGCACAGUCCUUGUCCAUUGUGUCUGUGGUUAUAGGUGUAAGUGGGUGUGAAAUUGAAGCACUUGGACUCCUGGAUUGAAGCUGUGAUGCAAACUCUCACUCAGGCAGUGAGCAAGUAGGGUUGUCUGCUUUCCUUUUCUGUCUUAGGUCAUUGAAUGUACAAUCCUCUAUGCAGUGAGUGAUUAAUGCAGAUACAAAGCUUAGCCUUUACGUGCUACUGAGCUGCUGAGAACAAUUUAUAGGACUAACUACAACUCUAAUGUGUGUGCAGGAAGUUUUUCCCUAAAAAGACUUGGAAAUAUUACAACGUACCUUUGUAGUUUGGGUGCUUUUGAGGCAUGGAAACACAGACUAAAAUAUAUUUAGGGAUACAAGUUUCCCCCUUUCAAAAUUUGUCACAGUAGGAGAAAUGCCCUUUUUGUCACAUAAUAAUAGAUUUGCUAUUGUCAGAAUGAAUGUAUUCUGCCCCACUAGUAUGAUCUCCAUGAACAGGAUCAAAUUUCUGUAUAUUUUAGAUUUACAGAGAAACUAAGAAGAUUAGUUUGCAUUUCUUGCCCCUGACUACUAUCCAUUCUCCUGGGGUUAUGGAAAGAACACAAAGUUUGACUUAGAAAACUUUGGGUUUAAUUCACUUUACUAGUUUUAUGAAAUUGCUUAACCUCUAAGCCUAGCUUUCCUCAUCUGUAAAACCUCAGCCAUAAGAGAUUGGAUAACAGCUACCUACUAUAAGGAUUAAGUACAAUUAUAUGGGUUAAACCUCUAAUCUGGUAUAUAGUAUAUGACCAUCACCCCAAAUCCAACAGUUCUCAUCUUUCAUUUUAUGCCAUGCUUUAUUAUUUUAUGUUUAUUUUCCCAUUUAUUUCGUAGAGAACACAUUUUGGGUUGCAGUUUUGUUAAGGAAAGGAAAAGACUAUACAAAUAACUUUUAAGGAAUUCUAAUAAUCAUUUCAUUAAAUCGGGCCAGUAUUUUUUUUCUGACAACUGAACACUUUAUCCAACAGUGCAACAUUAUUUUACACAUAUUAGGAAAUUGAUGAUUGCCAAAAAUACUUUUAACUGAUUUUGUUUCAUUUUUUGUUACUUCAGGACAAAAGUUAAAAUGCAUAUAGGAUCAAGUAUAAUUAUUUGUCCAUUUCAGUUCUAGGGGAAUCAGUUGAAUAUUUGAAUGGAUCUUAACAAAACUGAAUGUACUUUAUAGAGUACAUGACUUUUUUUCUUAAUUAACUAUCUGAAUUGUGAUAGACGUUGUGGUAAGUUUCUCAUCAUGUUUUCUUGCUUUUCUCUGAAAUAGCUGCUGACUUUGUAAGAGUGCUAAGUCACAGCUGCAUGAAUAUUCAAUAGCCUUGAAACAAGGACCAGGCAUUUGGUCGAUUGAUAGAUGAAUGUGUAGUGUCUGAGUUUUAUUCCUCUCAGGGAAAUUUUGAAAUUGAUGUGGCUAUGGCUAGCGGCAACUUAUAUGCACUAUUUGAAGCUCAUUUAUUACCUACUAUCUCAGUUGAAUCCUCUGAUUGAAAAUAGUGUAUUUAAAAUUAUGAUUUACUAUGCAACAAUCUAAAUGUAACUGAUUUUAAAUGCAUUGACUUUUGUUGUCACUAUCUUAACCAACAAUUUUAGAUAUGAUUUAAGGAUAAUAUAUUAUUUAAUUCACAUUUUCACAUUCUUAAAAUAAAUUUUUUCAGUACAUAUGAGCAUCAGGUCACUGAUUAAUUCAGUACCUAGCUACAAUAGGUGCUAAUGUUCACCACUAAGUAAUAAUUAUAAGCAUUUGUUAAAGUACCAAUUUCUAUUUCUACUCUACUUGUGAGUACUAUCCUAAUCCUUAAUUAGAAGGACAAUUAUAUAUAUAUAUAUAUAUGUAUGUAUGCAAUCGAGAUACUUAAUAUAUAGCCUCCAUUGGAUAUCUGGAUUGCUUAAUAAAUUUCAAAUACAUUUUAUUAACAGGUACUAAUGAAAUCAGUGAAAGAAGCUUGUUUUUCAUUCACAAAUUGUUAGUAUAUUGAAGAUUUACAAAAGAAUGGCCAUGUGUACACAUUUUUUACUACUGUGCACAUAUAUACUCAUCUGCAAAAACCAUUAUGGAUCAAUUGCAGUACUUAGACAUCACAAUUAUAAAUGGAGGAUUUUAAUAAUUAUUUAUAAAAAUAAUUUCAAAUGUAUUCCCUAGAAAAUUUAGGAUAAACAUUUUCUAACAUUUGAAUCAACUAUGCAAAAUCACUUGCAAUCAGUUUUUAGAGCCCAUUAACUUUGAUGUCAUUUCAAAUGCUGUUUACAUAUGGAAUAACUACUUUGAUUAUCCCCUAGGAAGUUAAUUUCGUGUUUAAAGCAAUGAAAUCUUCUUUCUUCCAUAUUUAAAAUUACAAAAAAAGUAAAGAAUAACAACACAGCAAGUGAGGAUGCUGAACAAAUAUAAGUCAUCUUGCUCAAAGUAUAUUUACUCUUUGAUCUUGAACUCUUCCUUUUUAUAAUUUUUUCCCUAAUUUUAAAAAGUGAGACAAUGCAUUUAAAUUUCUGUAUGCUACACCGUUUCUUCACCUUGGUUUAAAACAGAAAAUAUACCAGGGGUUACUUAAACCUGUACUCUAGGUACCCAAAGGCCCAUGAAAUACACAUUUACUAGCAAUGUUCAAUAACCUCCAAUAGGCAAUAUUAGUCUCAAACAACCACUUUAAAAUAUCCCUAAGGCUUCCUUUGCUGGUUUGAUUUUAGCAUUAAUGUUGUACAAGUUAUUUAUAUAAUAUAAAAUUAUAUUUCUUCAUC